rnacentral:misc_RNA from 1 species
UCGAAUUAUAAGUGAGGGUUGUUGCUGGCCUCUUUUGAGGCACGUGCACGCCCGAGCUCUUAAAUCCACAACACACCUGUGAACCCACCGUAGGCCUUCGGGCUUAUGUAUCAUUAUACUCUGAAUGUGUCAUAGAAUGUUCAUGUUGCCUUAAAACGCAAUCAAAUACAACUUUCAACAACGGAUCUCUUGGCUCUCGCAUCGAUGAAGAACGCAGCGAAAUGCGAUAAGUAAUGUGAAUUGCAGAUUUUCAGUGAAUCAUCGAAUCUUUGAACGCACCUUGCGCUCCUUGGUAUUCCGAGGAGCAUGCCUGUUUGAGUGUCAUUAAAUUCUCAACCCCACCGAUUUGCUUUGGGGGGAUUGGACUUGGAGCGUGCUGGCGAAGGUCGGCUCCUCUUUAAAUGCAUCAGUGGAGAGAAACUUGCCCCAGUGUGAUAAUCCUGUUGCGCUGUGGUGGGUGAAAGUCUGCUUCCAACCGUCCUCCGGGACAUACACCAUCUUAU